UACAGAGGGGGCAAGCGUUAUUCGGAAUUAUUGGGCGUAAAGGGCGCGUAGGCGGCCUGGCAAGUGGAAGGUGAAAUCCCUCGGCUUAACCGAGGAACUGCCCUCCAAACUGCUUGGCUUGAGACCGGGAGAGGUGAGUGGAACUGCGAGUGUAGAGGUGAAAUUCGUAGAUAUUCGCAAGAACACCAGUGGCGAAGGCGGCUGACUGGUCCGGUUCUGACGCUGAGGCGCGAAAGCGUGGGGAGCAAACAGG
rnacentral:rRNA from 1 species